GACGUAGGGCGCGAGCGUUGUCCGGAUUUAUUGGGCGUAAAGAGCUCGUAGGCGGUUUGUCACGUCUGCUGUGAAAUCCCGAGGCUCAACCUCGGGCCUGCAGUGGGUACGGGCAGACUGGAGUGCGGUAGGGGAGAAUGGAAUUCCUGGUGUAGCGGUGGAAUGCGCAGAUAUCAGGAGGAACACCGAUGGCGAAGGCAGUUCUCUGGGCCGUAACUGACGCUGAGGAGCGAAAGCGUGGGGAGCGAACAGG
rnacentral:rRNA from 1 species